UUCAUCAUUCGCUGCCCGCCCGAGGAGGGAUGGACCCAGCACCAGCCAAUGAUCGUACCCAGCCCGUGGCUCCCGCCCAAUCACCGUGAGGUGCCCGCGGAUUUAAACCAAUCACACACUAUCACUUGCAGAAGUCAAGGAAGAAACCAGGCUCCUGCUAGCAACUACCAAUCCGGACUCCUACUUCGCGGGUUUUGGCCAAUUGCCGCUCACCCGUCCCUUGGGACUGGAGUCGGCGCUCUCGCGCCUGCGCUCGAGAGGAAGACCAAUGGAGAGACGCAGAUAACUUCGAUUUGGGGCUUCAUGGACUUCCCACCUGCCCUCGAGGUCUUCCACCAAUAAGGGCCUGGGAUUGCCUCCGAGAAACAAUAAAUAAGGGAGGGGGCCCACAAACCCUCACCUCCCUGCGCGGGAACUACUUUGAGUUACGAAAAGAGACUGAUAGCCAUAAAGGUCAACUAUCUAAGGUUAACUCUGUAAUUCUACGACUAGUUCAGUCCUCAAACAUAGAUCUCCUAAAAUAAGAUUUCACUACUUUGGCGAUAGCAGCAUAGAGCUUUGGAGAAGGGCAGUGAGAGUGCUUGGAAGGGGAGGCACCUCAAGAGAAGCAGAUUGGGUGUAUGGGAAGACCCAGCCUUUGGGGAACCUAACCCACAUAUGAGGAAGAUCACAAUUCUUCAGGAAGCUUUUGAACAUCUCCAGAGCCUGAACAGGCUGCUGAUUUCCGGAAGAACAAAGGACCUCAGCGCUCCACUCUGACCCAGGCUUCCUCACCUGCUACUUCAGGGCCUCCACAAACCUCUCCCCACCCAGGAAAUCGCAGGCCAGGUUAGUGUCCCCCGUGUAGACAAAAGGGCACAAAGGUCAUUUUGCCGCAACUUCCAGCAGAAUGGGCCCCGUCACAUGCUGCCUCUGGUACUGAGACCUAACCUGGGAGCUGAGGGGAGAAGAGCUAGGAACUGGGACUCCCUUGGGGCCCUUUUCAAUUAGCCAAAAACUGCUCCUAGAUAUGGGCCUACCUGCUCCCCCAGGAUGACAGUUCUAUCCCACAUCCUCUUCCUGGACCCUAGGGCCCUCACCUCCAUGUCCUCUGCUUCCAAUCGAACAGCUGCCUCUCCCUCAACCAUUGCUUCUUUCAACAAAUAUUUGAGUACUUACAGUGUUCCUGACACUGUACAGGUGCUGGGAUUGUAACAGUGCGCCCCUUUCCUGCCCUACAUUUAAUCCCCAUGGUCUCUGGCCUGUCUCUCCCUGACUGUGGGGUCACAGCCUCGCUGUAGUGACUUUACCGGUGGCUGCUGGAUCUCCUCGGGUUCACCUGCACAGUCCCCAGGCACGGAGUGAGUCCCUGCCUCAGGUAAUUCUGGUUUGGCUGCAAGUACAGGAUGGGGCAUGGAUGCACUCAGGCACCCCACGGAUGGGACCAUUCGGAGGCUGGAGGCAGCGAGUGUUAAGUGUAGGAAGGGGUUAUGUGGUAGAGAGCCUCAGAUAUUCCCUCCCUCCAUUCCAUUAUUCCACGCCCAGUCCCCCCAGACUCAGUGAAUCCCAUAGAGAUGUUCUUUUUGUUUGGAAUCCCACAAACUUUUUCUAUGCUUUAUACCCCUGAUCCAUUUCUUUCUUUUUUUUUUUUUUUAACUUUUUAAAAAAGUUUUAUUUAUUUAUCUUGAGAGGGGGAGAGAGAGAAAGAGCAUGAGCAGGGGAGGGGCAGAGAGAGAGUCCCAAGCAGUUCUGCACUGCCAGCACAGAACCCAACGUGGGGCUUGAACCCACAAACCGUGAGAUCAUGACCUGAGCCAAAGUCAGCCGCUUAACUGACUGAGCCACCCAGGUGCCCCUCAAAAAUAAAUAAACAUGAAAAAAAAAUUAAAAACAAAACAGGGAGGGACAGGGGGAUAAACAAUAAUACAUACAUACAUACAUACAUAUAUAAACAAUAAAUCAAGCAAGCACACUAGGCAAUCAAAGUGCUGUGACAAGUAAUGAAGCAGAACAAGUUGCUGGAGUGACAAAGAGGUGGGCACUUAUUUUUGUUUGAGGAGAUCUCUGACUAGGAUCUGAGCAGAGACCUGAGGAGCUGAGGGAGGAAGCCAUGCAGGCAUCUAGUGGCAAAGGGUUCCAGGCCAGGGACCAGGAAGCACAUAGACCCUGAGGCUGACAUCUGCUGAGUCUGUAGGUGAAAAUGAAGCAGAGCUGAGGUGGUGGACAGGGAGGAGGAGGGUGGUAGAACAGGAGGUCACAGAGAAUAGGACUGUGGGGCCUGUCAUUCAAGGUGAGGACCUCGGCUUUCCUCUAGUAAGAAGAGAAGCCAUAGAGGAUUUUGAGCUGAGGAUGACGAGUUUUAAAAGACUGUUGCAGGGGUCCUUGGGUGGCUCAGUUGGUUAAGCGUUCAACUUCAGCUCAGGUCUUGAUAUCGCGGUUCGUGAGUUUGAGCCCCAUGUCUCUCUGCCUCUCCCCUGCUCUUGCCCCCCCCCAAAAAUAAAUAAAUAACCUUAAAAAAAAAGAGUAAAAGAUGAUUGCAAGGACAGGAGACUACAGGAAAACAAGGGUGGCAGCAGAAAUUUGCAACCAAAAAGCCCAAGUUGGGUGGCCCUUCGCUCAAAAAGCCAAUACUCAAGAGAAGAAUUUUGAUUGGCAACGAAUAGGAGCUUUAUUCAGGAGGCCAGGCACCUGGGGAGAAAGUGGACUCUUGUCCAAAAAUCAACUCUGAGGUUUCUGCCUGGCCCAAAGAUUUUUAAAGGAACUUCAGGGCAGUUAAUCAGUAAAAGGGGAGCACAGUGGUCGGUGACACUGCUUGACCACGUGCACACUCAGUGGUGCCAGCUACGGAUGUUAUCUCUGUAUUCAGAGGUUGUGUCCUGGUAUUGUGCAAGAGGGUUUGUUCCAAGUCUUUCGAGGAAACAACGCGUGAUGUAUAGAUAUACAAAGAAAGGUUAUAGAUAUAACCUUAUACUUAGAUAUACAAAGAAAGUUAACCAAUCACAUGGGCUAAAGGUGCUUGCUAAAACUUAAAGACUACUAAGUUGACUGGAGAGGCUGAGGCAGUGACUUCAGAAUCACCAAAUUAGAAGGAUAUUAUAAUAGUCCAGGCAACAGAUGAUGGUGGACUGGACUAGUUGCAGAGGUGGAGAAAAGCGAUGCCUAUAAUAACGAUCUCCAGACCGCAAGGCAUGGCUCUCACUGUCUCGCACCCCACCUGACCAACCACUUACUGGGGUGGCCAUGUGGAACUGGCACCUUCAGAAGAGGUUGCUUGUGUGUGUUGCCAGCAUAAUGCCCCUUGUAGCCUUGUGCCAUCCUCCGUGCCCCCCCUCCCCGCCCCCGGCAGGGUGACUAGAGGUUGAGGGUGUUGAAACCAAUGCCCUGAAUCAUGCCAUAAACCUCCAGGACCAGCAGAGAGGAAUCAGUCCAAGAUCUUUCCAGGAUUAAGGGUUUAAUCACAAUAUACUGUACUUCUGGCACAGGGUCUAAUUACAUUGACACCCAACAUGAUGAAAACUUCCAGUAGGGCAUGUGAGACCUGAGCUUGUGCCCUCUGGCCUCUUGGAGCUGCCCCUGGGGAACACCUGCAUGAAGCUGCAGGUACCACUACAACCUUUCCCCAGAUAGAUGGUUACCAAGUACCAGUCAGCUCGGACAAGCCAGUGGGCUCUAUUCUGAUCUAGGGGACAGAGUUCACUAUUUAUGUAUGUAUGUAUGAUUUAAACAUUUUUUAACAUUUAUUUAUUUUUGAGAGACAGAAUGCGAGCCAGGGAGGGGCAGAGAGAGAGGGAGACACAGCACAGAGCCCGACACAGGGCUCAAACCUACAUACUCUGAGACCAUGACCUCAGCCAAAGUCAGACCCUUAACUGACUCAGCCACCCAGGUGCCCUAUUUUUUUUUUAAGUUUAUUUUUAUUUAU